rnacentral:rRNA from 1 species
UUGGAGGGCAAGUCUGGUGCCAGCAGCCGCGGUAAUUCCAGCUCCAAUAGCGUAUAUUAAAGUUGUUGCAGUUAAAAAGCUCGUAGUUGAAUUUCGGGGUCAGUAGGUUGGUCAUGCCACUGGUGUGUACUGGUCUCACUGAUUCCUCCUUCCUGAUGAACUGUAAUGCCAUUAAUUUGGUGUUGCAGGGAAUCUGGACUGUUACUUUGAAAAAAUUAGAGUGUUUAAAGCAGGCUAACGCCUGAAUACAUUAGCAUGGAAUAAUGAAAUAGGACGUUCGAUCCUAUUUUGUUGGUUUCUAGGAUUGACGUAAUGAUUAAUAGGGAUAGUUGGGGGCAUUAGUAUUCAAUUGUCAGAGGUGAAAUUCUUGGAUUUAUUGAAGACUAACUACCGCGAAAGCAUUUGCCAAGGAUGUUUUCAUUAAUCAAGAACGAAAGUUAGGGGAUCGAAGACGAUCAGAUACCGUCGUAGUCCUAACCAUAAACUAUGCCGACUAGGGAUCGGAUGAUGUUAAUUUUUUAAUGACUCAUUCGGCGCCUUACGGGAAACCAAAGUGUUUGGGUUC